CCCUUAGAUGUUCUGGGCCGCACGCGCGCUACACUGAUUCAUGCAACAAGUUUUGUCCUUGGCUGAUAGGCCUGGGUAAUCUUUGAACGUGAAUCGUGAUGGGGAUAGAUGAUUGCAAUUAUUCAUCUUCAACGAGGAAUUCCUAGUAAACGCAAGUCAUCAGCUUGCAUUGAUUACGUCCCUGCCCUUUGUACACACCGCCCGUCGCACCUACCGAUUGAAUGGUCCGGUGAAGCCUCCGGAUUGGCGCGCACCUCGGUGCCGCCGAGAAGUUGGCUAAACCUUACCAUUUAGAGGAAGGUGAAGUCGUANCA
rnacentral:rRNA from 1 species